UUUCAUUAACGAAAAAAAUAAAGAAUAAAUUUAGUCUUUUGUUGUCCGAGAACACGGCUAAUUAAAAGUGUUGACAGGUAAGAUCAGACUGUGGGUUGAGUAGUUUUUCUUUUUGUACCUUCAGAAUACACCCGGUCUUGGGUCAGUUAUUACAAUCGAACUCUUGCAUGAACCGAGAAUAACGGUCUUUCCGUCGUGUCACCUGUAGGCUGUUCCCUGCGAGAUGUUGUAGUAUUUUUUUUAAAAUUACCUAGCUUGUUCUUCGCUCGGACCUGAUGCAGACGUCGAGAUAAACUCGUGGGCGUGGGUGGGGGAGCGGCUGUCAAACACCAUUAAGAAUAGCCGUUGCAGAUCGUUCCCCUUAAGUCAAUAUAUGCACUGUAGCUGAGAGACACGCAUCUUUGCCUCGCAAUAUUAUCGUCCCUUCAAACGUACAUCCUACCAGCUCAGAAAUUCGCUUUGUUUGCUCAUCCUUUAGCCCAGAUGCGUCUCUAGGCUCCCUCCUCCACCCUUGGUCCAAUAUAAGAUUGCCUCCACGUGACCCGAAGAUAUAAAUAUUUCAACGUUUGUUCUGGACGUUCGUUUAUUCCUCCCUGCUUUUCAAACGAUGUCUUUGCUGUGCUGACGAACUCUUCUUUGCAGAACCAGUGGAUCACACUUUCUACACCUCAAACAAACAUCCUGAUUGUGUUGUCAUCUUACAACGAAGCAGCAAUUUUACGGUUAUCAUACACCACAAAGCAGCAUCUGUUGUCCGGAGGGGCAAUCGGCGGCAGAGGCGGGGGAAGGCUUGUACCAUAUUCAGGGAGUCAGAUCCUAUCUUUCAAAGGUAGACAACAUCACUGUGAUGAACACAGCCACGGUGAUCAAGAGCCGUCCUACAGAUGUUUUCCCGCCUACCUGACAUGUCCGCGGCCUCUGGCUGACAGCUGAUGCAUUUCAUUAACCGCCAACUUCAGCUUACAGCGAGUGCAUUCAGGUCGGGGCAGAGGAGAGAGAAAGCUGCACACAGAGGCUUGGCCAUACAAUCGUCACACAUCUAGUAACGAGGACAGAGAGAAAGCACACAGUCGAGUCAGCCAUGAUGAUCGGGGAGUGGAGCAGCGUACAGGAGGGGUUGAAGACGGGAUCCACACAGUCGCCUAAGCUUUUCGAAAUUUUCUCCGAUUGUCCAUUCUUUCUUUUCGUUUCUACCUUGUCGAUCCGUUUAUCAAACGCCUGCUUCAGGGUCUUAAAAUAUGGUUUACGUCAUUUAGCGCGGUCUUUAGGGUCACGUGGGGUGUGGCAGAUGGUCGCUCAGGUACAAGACAGAUGCAGACGUGCUGUUAUGUAUGCACGUUGCACGCAGCAACACUGUAGGCUGUAAUAUGGACAAUUUUCUACUGUUUCUAUCUCGUGUUUGGCUGCUUCGAGGUCGUAAGAGAGAGAUACGAGAUGAAGUAGGCAUGGCAACAGAAAAUAAGAUCCUGAAACAUGUCUCUGCAACACGAUUAAUGUUAGAUAUAUAAUGUGGUUUUAAAUACAGCUAAUAAUAAAAAUUCCUGUAAUGUUUCUGAGUUCUUUUUGUCUCAUGCUUGUCUGUUUUUACUUUUAAUCUUCUAAUGAGCUAAACGUAUCACUGAAGCGCUUGCUAUACGGUAAUGAUGGGAUGCCCUCGGUUACAUCUCCUUUCUCCACCAAUAUUCAGAGCUGGCUGGUUUCCCAUUAUAUAGCCGAGGUUGUUAAGUUCGGUAUUAAAGACAAAUCUCCCGCCUCCUUUGAGCGGGUGGGGGCGGAGCUUUGCGCUAUUUAAUAAGUGCGUGUGUUCAUUGUACAAAGAGACAAAAGGCCCGACCAAACGAUUUCCCUUCGGUCAUACCACAAUUCUAUUUUAAUGUAACAAAAUCGGGAAAGAUGUCUUAACAUGCUUUUUGACAUAAAAAUGAACAUACAUCAGGCACUGCUCCUAUCAUAGAUUAUUGCACACUUUACGUCUGUCAGACAUCUACACACAGAUAUACACACGCGCGCGCACACACACAUACACACACGGAAAUGCUCUCAUCAACAUAUGGUCGACAUGCUGCCAGCACCUUUUAUUAAAGCCUAAAACAUAUUCUUCUACCUGGCCGUUUGUCUGAUGGUGAAGUAUUUGGACAGGUGCGAGCUCUUACCAGCGGCAUUGAUGCCUUGUCUGAUCCUCGCCAAGUUUGCAGACACACAGGUACACAUGGACAGAUGAGGAUACUUACCUCUCCCAUCGUAUAAGUUUCGUAGACCUGUUAGCUAGAGGACUUCAUGCUACUGCUGAAAAAAAAAACAGAAAGAAAAUCAAACAAUGUGUGACAUGACGCCCAGGAAAUCUGGUCGGGAUACG
rnacentral:lncRNA from 1 species